rnacentral:misc_RNA from 1 species
UGCGGAGGGAUCAUUACCGAGUUAUACAACUCAUCAACCCUGUGAACAUACCUAAAACGUUGCUUCGGCGGGAACAGACGGCCCCGUAACACGGGCCGCCCCCGCCAGAGGACCCCCUAACUCUGUUUCUAUUAUGUUUCUUCUGAGUAAAACAAGCAAAUAAAUUAAAACUUUCAACAACGGAUCUCUUGGCUCUGGCAUCGAUGAAGAACGCAGCGAAAUGCGAUAAGUAAUGUGAAUUGCAGAAUUCAGUGAAUCAUCGAAUCUUUGAACGCACAUUGCGCCCGCCAGUAUUCUGGCGGGCAUGCCUGUUCGAGCGUCAUUACAACCCUCAGGCCCCCGGGCCUGGCGUUGGGGAUCGGCGAGGCGCCCCCUGCGGGCACACGCCGUCCCCCAAAUACAGUGGCGGUCCCGCCGCAGCUUCCAUUGCGUAGUAGCUAACACCUCGCAACUGGAGAGCGGCGCGGCCACGCCGUAAAACCCCCAACUUCUGAAUGUUGACCUCGAAUCAGGUAGGAAUACCCGCUGAACUUAAGCAUAU